rnacentral:rRNA from 1 species
GGCGAGCGGACANGAUGGGAGCUUGCUCCCUGAUGUUAGCGGCGGACGGGUGAGUAACACGUGGGUAACCUGCCUGUAAGACUGGGAUAACUCCGGGAAACCGGGGCUAAUACCGGAUGGUUGUUUGAACCGCAUGGUUCAGACAUAAAAGGUGGCUUCGGCUACCACUUACAGAUGGACCCGCGGCGCAUUAGCUAGUUGGUGAGGUAACGGCUCACCAAGGCAACGAUGCGUAGCCGACCUGAGAGGGUGAUCGGCCACACUGGGACUGAGACACGGCCCAGACUCCUACGGGAGGCAGCAGUAGGGAAUCUUCCGCAAUGGACGAAAGUCUGACGGAGCAACGCCGCGUGAGUGAUGAAGGUUUUCGGAUCGUAAAGCUCUGUUGUUAGGGAAGAACAAGUGCCGUUCAAAUAGGGCGGCACCUUGACGGUACCUAACCAGAAAGCCACGGCUAACUACGUGCCAGCAGCCGCGGUAAUACGUAGGUGGCAAGCGUUGUCCGGAAUUAUUGGGCGUAAAGGGCUCGCAGGCGGUUUCUUAAGUCUGAUGUGAAAGCCCCCGGCUCAACCGGGGAGGGUCAUUGGAAACUGGGGAACUUGAGUGCAGAAGAGGAGAGUGGAAUUCCACGUGUAGCGGUGAAAUGCGUAGAGAUGUGGAGGAACACCAGUGGCGAAGGCGACUCUCUGGUCUGUAACUGACGCUGAGGAGCGAAAGCGUGGGGGAGCGAACAGGAUUAGAUACCCUGGUAGUCCACGCCGUAAACGAUGAGUGCUAAGUGUUAGGGGGUUUCCGCCCCUUAGUGCUGCAGCUAACGCAUUAAGCCACUCCGCCUGGGGAGUACGGUCGCAAGACUGAA